rnacentral:rRNA from 1 species
UGCAAGUCGAGCGAGCGGAACCAACAGAUUUACUUCGGUAAUGACGUUGGGAAAGCGAGCGGCGGAUGGGUGAGUAACACGUGGGGAACCUGCCCCUAAGUCUGGGAUACCAUUUGGAAACAGGUGCUAAUACCGGAUAAUAAAGCAGAUCGCAUGAUCAGCUUUUGAAAGGCGGCGUAAGCUGUCGCUAAGGGAUGGCCCCGCGGUGCAUUAGCUAGUUGGUAAGGUAACGGCUUACCAAGGCGACGAUGCAUAGCCGAGUUGAGAGACUGAUCGGCCACAUUGGGACUGAGACACGGCCCAAACUCCUACGGGAGGCAGCAGUAGGGAAUCUUCCACAAUGGACGCAAGUCUGAUGGAGCAACGCCGCGUGAGUGAAGAAGGUUUUCGGAUCGUAAAGCUCUGUUGUUGGUGAAGAAGGAUAGAGGUAGUAACUGGCCUUUAUUUGACGGUAA